rnacentral:tRNA from 2 species
CGCGGGAUGGAGCAGUCUGGUAGCUCGUUGGGCUCAUAACCCAAAGGUCGUAGGUUCGAAUCCUACUCCCGCUA